rnacentral:rRNA from 1 species
UACGGGGGGGGCAAGCGUUGUUCGGAAUUACUGGGCGUAAAGGGCUCGUAGGCGGCCAACUAAGUCCGACGUGAAAUCCCCAGGCUCAACCUGGGAACUGCGUCCGAUACUGGAUGGCUUGAAUUCGGGAGAGGGAUGUGGAAUUCCAGGUGUAGCGGUGAAAUGCGUAGAUAUCUGGAGGAACACCGGUGGCGAAGGCGGCUCUCUGGGACGGUACUGACGCUGAGACGCGAAAGCGUGGGGGAGCGAAA